rnacentral:rRNA from 1 species
UGUAAGCGUAUACCAAAGUUGUUGCAGUUAAAACGCUCGUAGUCGGAAUUUGGCAGUUCCGGAUGUGUGCACGUCGUGUGCGCACUUCGCGGGGAUUGCUUUUGUGGUCUUGGGUAGGAUGAGGCACUUUUAUUAGUGAACGUCCUCACGCAACCACUUUUUACUGUGAGAAAAUCAGAGUGCUCAAAGCAGGCAUUUGCCGUGAAUGUAUUAGCAUGGAAUAAUAGAAUAGGACUUGGUUCUAUUUUGUUGGUUUGUUGGGACUGAGUAAUGAUUAAGAGGGACAGUUGGGGGCAUUUGUAUUUCGGUGCUAGAGGUGAAAUUCUUAGAUUACCGAAAGACAAACUGCUGCGAAAGCGUCUGCCAAGGAUGUUUUCAUUGA